GGUCCGUUAGUCCAAUGGCAGAACAGUUCGUUUACACCGAACAAACACAAGUUCGAUUCUUGUACGGACCA
rnacentral:tRNA from 1 species